ACUACUGUCACUAGCACUCCAUGUAACCUGUCGGACACUACUGUCACCAGCAUGUAGGUGACAAGUAUGACUCUCUGUUUGGGAAUCACCUAAAGAGUCGUGAAGGCUUUCUUUAUCUCAGCUAACUAGUACUCGGCCUCUUUAAAGGAGGAUCCCCCUGUAAAAGUAGAUGGGUUUAGUCUUUUAUACCUCUCAAUGUAUACUAGGUCCAUUAUGGGAGGAACUUGGUCCCGUGGAAGAAGGACUGGAUUGUGCUGGGGAUGGACCGGAUGGCCCUAUGGUGGUACUGGAUGAUAUGGUGAAGGUACCGGGCUAUACUGUGGUGGUGCCAGAUGAUGCGGUUGGGGCACUGGGCUAUAGGGUUUACAUUCCUUACACAAUAAUUUUGAAUAUCCAAUAGUACUACGG
rnacentral:lncRNA from 1 species